AGAGCGGUUCCCGCAGUCCGCCUCCGGGGGUUGUGCGCUGCCGCCACCGCCACCUCCGCCGACGACGACGACGACGACGACCGCGACGGUGGGGCCACGAAUAAUAAUAUAAUAAUAUGUAUUAUUAUUAUUGUGUACAAAAAAUAAUAAUAAGUAAUGUGCAAUAACAAUAAUUAAUGCGUGCAAAACUCAAUAUGGUCGUCGUCUGAAAAAUUUUAGAAAUUUUAUAAGAUCACGAGACAAGGCAAUUUUAUGCUCCGGCAACUUUGGCGUGAUACGUUACGCGCGCAUAUUAUUAUAAUUCCAUAAUAAUAUUAUGUACACCAUUCCGUGAGAUUGCAAUGGAAUUUAUUAGAAAAAAAAAUAUAGACAUUAAUAAUUCAUGUCUUGGCUGCAAAAACGAAAGAUAUUUUCUUUUGAAAACAAUUUUGAAGAAAAAAAAAUGUUCAUAAACUCAAUGAUUGGACAUAAAAAGUAAGGUAGGUACGCCGAAAUUCGCCAACCAUGACGAGGUAAUCCACCCUCGGAAUUUUAACCCGGUUACAUAGCUACACGGGUCUAGCACUAAUU